GACGAACGCUGGCGGCGUGCUUAACACAUGCAAGUCGAACGGAAAGGCCCUGCUUUUGUGGGGUGCUCGAGUGGCGAACGGGUGAGUAACACGUGAGUAACCUGCCCUUGACUUUGGGAUAACUUCAGGAAACUGGGGCUAAUACCGGAUAGGCGCUCCUGCUGCAUGGUGGGGGUUGGAAAGUUUCGGCGGUUGGGGAUGGACUCGCGGCUUAUCAGCUUGUUGGUGGGGUAGUGGCUUACCACGGCUUUGACGGGUAGCCGGCCUGAGAGGGUGUCCGGCGACAUUGGGACUGUGAGACGGCCCAGUCUCCUACGGGAGGCAGCAGUGGGGAAUAUUGCGCAAUGGGCGGACGCCUGUGGCAGCAACGCCGCGUGCGGGAUAACGGCCUUCGGGUUUUAAACCGCUUUCGCCGGUGACGAAGCGUGAGUGACGGUAAUGGGUAAAGAAGCACCGGCUAACUACGUG
rnacentral:rRNA from 1 species